AGCAGCCGCGGUAAUUCCAGCUCCAAUAGCGUAUAUUAAAGUUGUUGCAGUUAAAAAGCUCGUAGUUGAAUUUCGGGACCAAUCUGCCGGUCGUGCCUCCGGUACGCACUGGUUUUAUUGGUUUCUCCCUUCUGACGAACCAUGAUGUCAUUAAUUUGGUGUCAUGGGGAAUCAGGACUGUUACUUUGAAAAAAUUAGAGUGUUUAUAGCAGGCUCACGCUUGAAUACAUUAGCAUGGAAUAAUGAAAUAGGACGUUUGACCCUAUUUUGUUGGUUUCUAGGAUCGACGUAAUGAUUAAUAGGGAUAGUUGGGGGCAUUAGUAUUCAAUUGUCAGAGGUGAAAUUCUUGGAUUUAUUGAAGACUAACUACUGCGAAAGCAUUUGCCAAGGAUGUUUUCAUUAAUCAAGAACGAAAGUUAGGGGAUCGAAGACGAUCAGAUACCGUCGUAGUCUUAACCAUAAACCAUGCCGACUAGGGAUCGGAUGAUGUUAAUUUUUAAUGACUCAUUCGGCGCCUUAA
rnacentral:rRNA from 1 species